rnacentral:tRNA from 1 species
UGGGGUGUGGCCAAGUGGUAAGGCAACUGGUUUUGAUCCUGUUAUGCGGAGGUUCGAGUCCUUCCACCCCAG